CUGAGACUUAAGUGUGGAAGCUUGGAAAGAAAAGGAGGAGCCUGGAAAAAUACAAGCAAGAAAGAGAGAAGAAAUUAAGUAAAAUAGAGAGGAAUACACUAAGAAUAUGACACACAUUCCAAGACAAAGAAAACCAAGACUCCAGUCCAGAAAAAAAUGAGUUUCAAAAUCACUUGGUAUCCAUACCCAGAUUUAACUGCUGCAGAAGUGAGAUUGAACAGGUUCUGCAAUCUUCCACAGAACAGGAGUGGAGCUUUCUUCUCCUUCUACUGCAUGUUCUUUUUCUGUGGGUGCUCUUCCACACAUGGAUCUUC